rnacentral:rRNA from 1 species
GACGAACGCUGGCGGCGUGCUUAACACAUGCAAGUCGAGCGGUAAGGCCCUUUCGGGGGUACGACGAGCGGCGAACGGGUGAGUAACACGUGGGUGACCUGCCCUCCAGCUCUGGGAUAAGCCUGGGAAACCGGGUCUAAUACCGGAUAUGACUCCAUGACGCAUGUUGUGGGGUGGAAAGCCUUGUGCGGCUGAGGAUGGGCCCGCGGCCUAUCAGCUUGUUGGUGGGGUGAUGGCCUACCAAGGCGACGACGGGUAGCCGGCCUGAGAGGCGACCGGCCACACUGGGACUGAGACACGGCCCAGACUCCUACGGGAGGGCAGCAGUGGGGAAUCUUGCGCAAUGGGCGAAAGCCUGACGCA